UGGGGAAUAUUGGACAAUGGGCGCAAGCCUGAUCCAGCCAUGCCGCGUGAGUGAUGAAGGCCUUAGGGUUGUAAAGCUCUUUCACCGGUGAAGAUAAUGACGGUAACUGGAGAAGAAGCCCCGGCUAACUUCGUGCCAGCAGCCGCGGUAAUACGAAGGGGGCUAGCGUUGUUCGGAUUUACUGGGCGUAAAGCGCACGUAGGCGGACUAUUAAGUCAGGGGUGAAAUCCCGGGGCUCAACCCCGGAACUGCCUUUGAUACUGGUAGUCUUGAGUUCGAGAGAGGUGAGUGGAAUUCCGAGUGUAGAGGUGAAAUUCGUAGAUAUUCGGAGGAACACCAGUGGCGAAAGCGGCUCACUGGCUCGAUACUGACGCUGAGGUGCGAAAGCGUGGGGAGCAAACAGG
rnacentral:rRNA from 1 species